rnacentral:rRNA from 1 species
AAGGCCAUGCAUGUCUAAGUACAGAGACUCGUAAUCUUAAACCGCGGAUGGCUCAUUAUAACAGCUAUGAUUUGAGAGAAAUAAACUUUUUGCUACAAGAUAACUGUGGUAAUUCUAGAGCUAAUAUUUUUAAGAAUGCUGUGACUUCGGAAGCAGCGGAUUUAUUAGAUCAAAACUAACCUGCCUGCAAAGACAGUUUAUUGAUGACUCUGGAUAACUUUACUGAUCGAACAACCUUGUGUUGACGACGUAUCUCUUGAAAUGGCUGACCUAUCAACUUUCGAUGGUAAGAUCAAAGCUUACCAUGGUUGUAACGGGUAACGGGGAAUCAGCGUUUGAUUCCGGAGAGGGAGCCUGAAAAACGGCUACCACAUCCACGGAAGGCAGCAGGCGCGCAAAUUACCCAAUACCGGCUCGGUGAGGUAGUGACAAAAAAUAACAAUAUGGGCCCUAGUGGUUUCAUAAUUGCAAUGAGAAUAUUUUAAAUACUUUAUCAAGUAUCAAUUGGAGGGCAAGUCUGGUGCCAGCAGCCGCGGUAAUUCCAGCUCCAAARGCGUAUAUUAARGUUGUUGCAGUUNAAAAGCUCGUAGUUGAAANUCGGGUANACMAAUGAUUUGAUAUCUUUUGAUAAAAUUUAUUGGGACCUUUUGUGGCGNGNAUACUWUUCAGGUNMUUUAWUGGAUCUGAUNWAUGACCGACUKGUUUACUUUGANAAAAUUAGAGUGCNUAAAGCAGGCUUAUGCUUGYAUAUGNUGCAUGGAAUAAUNAAAUACGACUUCGGNUUUAUUNUGUUGGUUUNCGAANCUGAAGUANUGAUUNAAAGAGACGGCCGGGGNCUANUGUAUGCUGGUGUNAGAGGNGAANUUCUUAGAUCAUCAGCAGACAAUCUACUGCGAANGCAUUNGCCAAGAAUGNUUUCAUUAAUCAAGAACGNAAGUCAGAGGAUCGAAGACGAUCAGAUACCGUCCUAGUUCUGACCAUAAACUAUGCCAACUGACAGUUAGNUAAGGUAUAUUCAUNUCCUUGCUAGAAGUCACCGGGNAACCAAAGUCUAUGGGUUCCGGGGGAAGUAUGGUUGCAAAGCUGAAACUUAAGGGAAUUGACGGAAGGGCACCCCAAGGAGUGGAGCCUGCGGCUUAAUUUGACUCAACACGGGAAAUCUCACCCGGUCCGGACACUAUAAGGAUUGACAGAUUGAUAGCUCUUUCUUGAUUUGGUGGGUGGUGGUGCAUGGCCGUUUUUAGUUGGUGGAGCGAUUUGUCUGGUUAAUUCCGAUAACGAACGAGACUUGAACCUGCUAACUAGUGUAUCUGUGUUAAAUUGCAGAUACUUCACUUCUUAGAGGAAUAAAUAGCGUUUAGCUAAAUGAAAAUGAGCAAUAACAGGUCUGUGAUGCCCUUAGAUGUCCGGGGCCGCACGCGCGCUACAAUGGCAGUAACAACGAGUUUUAUUCCUAUCCAGAAAUGGUCGGGUAAUCUUUUGAAUCACUGUCGUAUCAGGAAUAGUGCUUUGAAAUUUUUGCACUUGAACGAGGAAUUCCUAGUAAGCGCAAGUCACUAACUUGCGCUGAUUACGUCCCUGCCCUUUGUACACACCGCCCGUCGCUACUACCGAUUGAAUGGUUUAGUGAGAUUGUUGGAUUCUAAUUUAAGAAAUGGCAACAUUUCU